UGAGCAUCCGUGGACACUAAAAAGCCCGCGACCGGAAGUGGGGUGUGCCCGAGACUCCUGGGAAAUGUAGUUCAGCCUCCCAACGGCCCCGGCCCAGCCAAAUGGCUCGGCCUCCUCGGGCACCAGAACCAAGGGGCGGGGGCGCGUGACCGUCCCGUUUGGAAGCCAUGGGGAGUGGAGGCUCAUCUGCCCACGAUCACCGCAGGCAGGCCCCAGACGGUUGCGGAACCGACGAGCCCAGCCUGUCUCCGUGGUAACCGGCUGGCCGCAGAGGACUGUGGGAAGUGUAGUUGGGCAGGACCGGCCGGUGCUCGAGGUCAGAGGGGUUGCCGUUAUACCACCGGCCCCUUCGGGCAGAACGAUUUUGCGGCGUCCGGGCGACGUCGUCCAGCCGUCACUUUGGCCUCUGAUCACCCAGGCAGGUGGGUGGCCCCCCUGGGAAUAAGUUCGGCUGAGAUUUGCGUAGACUCACACAGUGGAUCAUAGUGAUGAGAGGGGGAUCCGAGUGGAUCAGAUUGGAGCCUUUAGAGGGCAUCUAGUCCAAUCCUCUAUACUGUUAGAGAAGGGGGUACCCAAGUCCAGAGAGUGUCAAGUGAUUUCCCCCAGAUCUGCUCACGCCUUUAUUUCCAACACAAGCACAGUGCCUGGCACAGAGUUGACGCCCGAGCGUUUGUUAAGUGUCACUUCGCACUAAGGACAAACUGCUGAAAUACUUCAACAAAUUACAAGAUAAAAAGGAAAAAAAGAAUUUAUGAGGGAAGUGAACCUGAAGAGACCUGUCAACUAAAUGCAACCUGUAGACCUUAUUUGGGUCAUGAUUCUGACAACCAAUUGAGGAUUUUUUUUUUUUUUUAAAUCAAGGAAAUGUGAACAUGAAUGAUAUUAAGGAAUUACUGUUUAAAAAUUUUAGUUGUGAUAAUGGUAUUGGGGUUUAUGCUUUACAAAGAAAAAGACACAUACUGCAGAUCUUAUGAGUGAAAUGAUGCCUGAGAUUUGCUUGAAAAACAUGCAAUGUGGUGGGGUAGGGGAGAGUAGAUGAAAGAUUGGCAUGGUUACUUCCCUUCUAGCUCAGUUGGUAAAGAAUUUGCCUGCAAUGCAGACCAGGGUUCAGUUCCUGGGUGGGAAGAUCCCCUGGAGAAGGAAGUGGCUACCCACCCCAGUAUUCUUGCCUGGAGAAUUCCAUGGACAGAGAAGCCUCGCAGGCCAUAUGUGGUCCAUGGGGUCACAAGAGGCAGAUGCGACUCAAAGACUAAACCACCAUAUAAUUACUGGAGAUGGGGAUGUGCCCAGGAGAUUACUAUUCUGUUAUCAUAUAUACUCCCCAAAACAUCAAGUGUAAUUUAAUUCGAAUCUACUAGAGAUACAUACUGAGGGGGGAAAAAAGAUAUACUGUCUAACAUUUAUUUUUAAAAUACUCCAUAGGGAUUUACCAGUGGCCCAGUAGCUAAAACCAGGAUCCCAAUGCAAGGGGCCCAAGUUCAAUCCCUGGUCAGGGAAGUAGAUCCCUAAGUUCGAAUGCCGCAACUAAAACAAAUCUCACAUGUUGCAAUCAAGAUCAAAGAUCCUGCGUGCUGCAGCUAAGACCCAGCACAGCCAAAUAAAUAUUGAAAGGAAAAAAAAAUACUACACACACACAAAAGUAUGGUGGGGCGAGCUAGAAACAGGAAUGGCAGGAAAUGAAUAGCUACGGAGGUUGGGUGAUGGGAACAUGAGAGUUUGUUGUAUUAUUGUAUUCUUUCUAGUGGGAUUGAAAAUUUCCAUAAUCAAGGUACUUUGAUUUUUUUCAAAAAACUUGUGUAUUUCAGAACAUUUCUGAAAUUAAAGAAGCUCAUGAAGAGUUUAUCAGAAACAUAACUCUCCCACGGCACAAGUUAAGGCUCCUUGGGGACUUCUCCAGUCAAGAAUGACCCCAGUAAUGGUGGGGGCUGUGUCCUUGGCCCCCCCCCCCCCCCCCCCGCCUGAUCCAGUCCCAUAGACCGGAGUCUGGGGAACCUCCCAGAGGGGAGGUUGAGCAGCUGGCCUGCCCCAGAGAAGAGUUUCGAGCAGGAGAGUGAAGAGAGGAGCCAGGAAGGUGACCAGAGUGACCAGAACUGCCAGCCAGACAGAUGUAAAGCUCUUUGAGGAAGAACCACCCUGUGUCCCUUGGACUCACAGCACCAAGGGACACCGAGCACCGAGGGACUCGGGAUGACGUGGGGAUCGGUGACUGUAUACAGCUAUGGACGCAGACAGAUGGAUUUGUGGCUCAGGGUCAUCACGCAUGGAGACACGCUUACCCCAGCCUGAAGACAUGACCUGCCUUCUCGGGGAUAGUUGUCGGCCAUUCUCUUCCGAGUCACACAGGAAGAAGGUGAUCUCAUCUUUAUUGCCACUCUUCCCCGACCCCGACCUGAAAGCAGGAUUAGCCCUGAUGUCCAUAAGGUGGCAGAGGCCCUUGGCUCUGUCUGGGAGGCAUUGCUGGCUGUCAUGUGUUGUGCUAACCUUGGGAGUGACCUUGAUUGGGGAGGCAGGGAACAAGCAAGAAAUUAGUAUGUUGGAGAGCUGGCCAGUUUCCCGGUUAAGGAGGGCUGGCUCAGGGUCCACCCCCAAGAUGAACUUGGAGCUCUUUGAGAGCAAGACCUAUGUCUGAAGCAUCUCUGUAUUCAUAGUGCCUCAAUUAACACCUGGCACGUAGCAGGUGUUCAUCCAACACUGGGCGCUCCUGUAGUUGCCAGCAACCAGAGUUACCAGCAAGGAGGUAACAGGAAAACAGAUGUUAACGACUGUACUGAAAGGCCCCACCUGUGCUGACCACCACAAAGGCAUCAUCCUUUGCUAUAGAGCAGAGUUCUGGGUCCCAAGCACAAAAUCCAGGAACAUCUCUUGUCUUUUGUUAACUGCAAAAUCUCUAUCUCCCCUACAAAAAAAAAAAAAACACAGGGACAGACUCUGUGUAUAUAUCCAUGGAUUUAUAUAGCCAUGGCGUGCUCUUCUAAAUGUCUUUAAAAUCUAUUAAGUUAGAAAUGUUGGAGGUGGUGAUGAUAAGAGCUAGUCCCUAGAUGUGGCAUUGCCCAUCAGAACUGCGUUUCCUAGAAAGCCAAGGCUGCUUCUGAACAGCUGAACCUUGAACCCAGUAAAGCCUUGAACCCGGUGAAAGGAUGAGUAGAUCGUGGAGCGUUAAGGAGAAAAAGGGAGGGUCCUUGCCAGCCGCCUCUUUGCCUGCUUACCAGAGGCUCGCAAGCUCACAUGGCGGUCUCUGGGCAGGAGGACAGCUGGUCACUGGGUUUCUGUGCUCCUGUCCUGGGAGUUUAGAGCUGGAACGUCACUUACAGUGGAUCUUCAGAUACCCUCUCAGAUCACUCCUCGAAGGGCUUAUCCCAGGAACAAAUCAAAUAGGAAGUGAUAGAAACAGGCAGAGGAGUUUGAAAUGGCUAAACCAGGGAAGGCUGUUGGGGGAGAGGGGAUUGGAGGGACAGGGACUGUAAGCUCAGCGAGGUUAGAGACUCUUUAACUCCUGGGGGGCUGGGUGAAGGCUGUUCCAAAGGCCUCUAGGAAAUCGUUCAAGAAACUAGAAGGAAAGCUGUCAAGUGCUUCAUGGGGUGCAAAGUCACCCCCCCAGCCCCACUCACCACCGUGGGGGGCCCCAGUGGAGCUCCCCAUCAGAACCGCCACGCCACGCCAGCUCUUUCAAUGGGCGCCGUCCAGUGGGCUCUCCCCUGGGGCUUGGCCCCACCUGAGCGUGUGAUAGGCUCUGAUGACAACAGUCACUCACAUGCAUUUAGUGCCUCACACACAGGGUCUCAUUUAAUCCUCCCAACAACGCUUGAAAUGGAAUGUUUCUAUCCUCACGUUAAAAAUGAAGAAACUAAGACCUGGAGAGGUGCAAUAACUUUCCCAAGGUCAUGCAACUAAGAAGUAGAGGAGCGAGGCUUAGAAUCCAGUCUUGCACGAAUGUUCUCAUUUUCGCGUUGUGGGAUUUUUCAUUCCCUUUGCUGGAAUCACCAGUCUGUUUUCUGUCCCUGUUACGUGGUCCUGCUUCUCCCGUCUCUUCUGUGGCCUGCCAAAGCCACAAAAUGGUUUCUAAGUUCCAAGUCCAGUGGGUACCAGAUGCUGCCAGGCCCUAUUAAAGCCAUGUUCAUGAGAGAGCCCGGCUUCCUACUAGCAGUCCCUGGAAUCUCUCCUGUGGGAAUUCGGGGGAUAUUCCGAGUCAGGGCAGACUUAAGAAACUGAUUAUGCUGUUCAUUCUGUAAGUCAAGUAACAGGCCCUCAGAGUGAGUGACCUGAACAGCUGGAGCCAGCUGGGCAGGUUCAGCUGCAGCCACAGGUCAAGGGCCUUGGUUCAUCUGCCAGCCGGAUUCCUCUCUUCUCCACUUGGCAUCCACUGAAAAGGGACUGAAAUGUGCAAAAUGGCCUUUUCCCUCCUGUGUCCACCUGGCGUCUCUCUAGUAGACUGGCCUAAUUUCCUCAUCUUGUUGCCCUGGGCUCCAGGAGCCACCUCCCACACCCUCUGUCCUGCCCCACUCCCAUACCCAUCUCCUUCAGUCCAGCUGGCUGUGUUGUAUCACAUGACUCUGCCUCUGUCCUCCUCACACCACACACACACACACACACACUCACACACUCAGGCAGGUCAAUGAGCCAGGAUCUGUGUACACUGGUCAACAACUUGUGAAGUCCCCUGACUCAGGGAAUGUUUGGAAAGCCAGUCAGGCCAGGCAGAUUCCUCUUUUAGGAAAUUUGAACCUCCAAAUCAGGCUGCAUGGGCAGUGUGUGACAGGAGGUCAUGAGGGCAAGUAGGGCCAGGUGCUGGCCGGAAGUACACUGAGAUGGAAGCUUGGAGAUUGAAGAAAGGCAAAACAAUACUUAUCAUUGGGGGAUUAAUGAGCCUCUUUGGGAAGAAGAUAAAGGAUGUCGAGAUUAGAGGCAGAACUCCAGGAAAGGCAGAGAGAGGAGCCAGUCCUAGAGCCUCCCCAAGGCUCGCCAGGCCUGCCUCACCCAUGUGAGGCAGCAGGCUCCUUACUUAGUCCCUCUGCUGUCUGUUGGCUCAGAAUUGGGCAUGUGACAGUUCUGCCAACAUAACUUAUGGGGAAAUGGCUGGGGGACCUUCUGGGAAGAUUUUGUUUUCUGAUAAAAGGAGAAUGAAGAGGCCCAUCUCUUCCUCCUGCUUUGAACAGGGAUGUUUGAGAUGUGAUAUUUGGAGCUGUGGCAGCCAUUUUGAGACCAGGUGGCAACGAAACUAAGGGAGAAAGCCAACAUAGCAAGGUUGGCCGAGUAGACAGACAAAGCCUAGGUCCUCGAUGAUACCGUUGAGCCACCAUACCUAUCCGGGAACCGCCUACUUCCAGUCUUACUGAUCUUUAAAUUGAACCGUCUUUAUUUUCUAAGCACAUUUCUGCUAUUUUCAGCCUAAAAGGCAUUCUUAGCCAGUCAAUACAACACUCCUCCGAACUUCCCAGUCAUCAACUCCUUAGAGCCCCCACGGCUCUUGGUACAGCUCCAAAUGGAAAAUCAGCCCAAUUUAGACACUGGAAACCUUAAUUGUAUGGUAGGAAAUACAGGUCAAGAUUGGUCAUAGCCCACACAGGCAAGCAGCUUGUACACUUAGUUCCGAUUCCUGGAGCCUACCGGGCACUGAUGAGGAAAGAAAGAUUCAGGACAGUUCCAGAUGCAUGAGCCUGGGUCUUCUAAAUUGGGGCUCCAUGAGGAACUUUAGAACAAAUCAGCGUGGAAUCGGUGGGGGGGGUGGGGGUGGGGUGGGGAGGUGAGUGUUAGUCCCUGGAGGCAGAGCCUGAGCAUGGACCAGAAGGCCAUGGCAGAAGGAGAAGCAAGUUGGAAUUGGCAAAUGGUGAGUUAGGUUGGGUGAAUUCUGGAGGAGGCCGGUGUCACACAGCAGGGUUUUAUGAGCCCCAUAUACUAGGUGAAGGAAAUGUAUGGCAGCUAGAGCUUAACUGAUGGAAAACUAGGCUUUGUAGUUAACUCUCCAGCCAGCCUAAGUGACAUUUCAUAUCCUUUGGGGAACACGGUGCCCUGACUUGAGGCCACUUCCCGCUUUCUCCAUGCCUUGUCCCUUUGCCACCUGGCCCUUCUUUCUUUAGCUUUCCUUCCCAUCUUCUCUGAGCAAAGCCAGGAGACAGAAACGCACAGGACCUGAAUUGCUUCUUCCUCAAUUGGGGAAUGGAUAUAGUGGCAAGCAAGGAUGUCUCCUAGAAGACUUAGAAUCCCAGGCGAGGGAUAAGGAGUUUGGUUGGGAGGUGAAAACGCAGUCGGUGGAUAAGGACUAGAUGAAGCUUUCUUCUGAUCCAAUUUUCAUCACAUAACGUGGUUUUUGUGUUGCUUCAACACAAGAAAAUGUGCCUGACCCUUGCUUCAUGAAAAGAAGAAUUGAACUUAGGAACUCUAGCCCUUCCUCUUUAAAUGUCUAGUUUUAAAUAUAAAGUGAAACCGGUAUCCUCCUCAUGUAGCUGUCAGAUGCAUUCAGAACUGGAGAAAAAUUGCCCUGCCCUUUCCCAACUCAAAAUAGUCUUCGGCAGUAAAGAGAGGUGGCCCAUAGAAGUUCCUCAAGCUAAUGGGGGCCGAACACCAAUGUGUUGCAAUUAGGGUAGAAUUUGCAACCUCCAGAUCCUGCCAGUAAGCCUCGCCCCCUCAACACAGUCCUUUCACACCCUCCACAAUUUAUGGAGUCCUGCCCUUGAAGGUUCAGACUAGGCUGACUCGGUUUGCCUGUUGUAUUACUUCAUUCAUUCAGCAAAGUUGGACUGAAUACCUACCAGGAAUAGAAGUUAAGCUUAUAAAAGCAAGUUUGUAAGCUUAUCUUCCUAAGUCAUUAUAUAUAUAUAUAUAAUAUAUAUAUAUAUAUAUAAUUUAUAUAUAUAUAUAUAUAUUCUAUGAGACAGAGAAAGAAAUGGAAAUGGAAAGAAAUGGAAAUCUUGGUUGCAGUGGAAGAAGCAAUAAAGUUUAAGCCCCUACUUAAUGCAAUUCAUGCUUUAACUGACAAUAAACCCUGAACCCCCUCCCCUCCUCAAAGUUACCCCAUACAUCACUAAAGAUUCUCUGAAAUCCAAUAAGGAAAAGAACUGAAGGCUUUUCCUCAUUCUCCACAAUCAAGGCUUUUCUCCAGAAUGAAUUAGCCUGAUUACUGGCUAAAAGCUCUCCCACAAUCUUUCCAAUAAGAGUGUUUCUUUCCUGUAAAUUCUCCAAAGAUGAUGCUCCACGUUGGUUCCACUCACAGGCCGCUCUCCAGCGUGAAUGAGUUCAGUGUGCCCCCACGCCUCCCCCGGGCGGCCUCCCCCAUUCACACACACGCCUGCUUCCUGUCCUGGUGAAUCAGCCCACAUUGUCCAAGGCUGGAACUCUGAUUGAAGGUUCUUCCUCAUCCCUUCUGCUCCCAGGGCUCCUAUCCACUCUGAAAUCCCAGAUGUCUAAUUAGCUCUGAGCACUGUCUAAAAGCGCUUUCACAGCUCUGACGCGCAUGUGGUCUUUCUCCAGUGUGAAUUCUCUGACGUUGAAUGAGCUUUGCUUUUCCCGAAAGCCCUUACAGUUACGGCAUUUGUAGAGUUUCUGCUGCAUGUGAAUUAGCUGGUAUCAGGAUGCUGCCGGAUGCCUCCUGCAAACGGAUUCUCUCCAAGAUGAACGUUAGGGAGGCGGGGUGCCAGGAGAAAAGUGGCCUCUGUUUCAUAACAAAGAUGUUUUCUCCAAGAAGUGCACUGUAAUAAGGAAUAAAUUCUGAAUUCUGUUCUAAGAUUUGGCCAUACCUAUCUUAUUUGUGGGUUUUCUCACUGCUUAAAAAAUGUGUAUGAAUUGCGAAUGUUCUCAUGUUCAUCCCAUUCAUGGGACGGAUUCUCCAGGAUGUCUCUGUAUUCACGGACACCUCAAAACUCAGACCUGGUCAGUGUCCCCCAGGGACCAUCUCAAUGCAGCUGCCUAUGAAUCUAUGACUGCAGAAAGUUCCCAUUCAGACCAGGUGUUCCUGGUCCCAGGCUCAUAUGAAAUUACAGGAAAUGUAAAUUUCAG
ensembl:lncRNA